GACGAACGCUGGCGGCGUGCUUAACACAUGCAAGUCGAACGCUGAAGACCUGGCUUUUGUUGGGUUGGAUGAGUGGCGAACGGGUGAGUAACACGUGAGUAACCUGCCCUCUUCUUUGGGAUAACGCCCGGAAACGGGUGCUAAUACUGGAUAUUCCCUGAUCUUCGCAUGGGGGUUGGUGGAAAGGGUUGUUCUGGUGGGGGAUGGGCUCGCGGCCUAUCAGCUUGGUGGUGGGGUGAUGGCCUACCAAGGCUUUGACGGGUAGCCGGCCUGGGAGGGUGACCGGUCACAUUGGGACUGAGAUACGGCCCAGACUCCUACGGGAGGCAGCAGUGGGGAAUAUUGCACAAUGGGCGAAAGCCUGAUGCAGCGACGCCGCGUGAGGGAUGGAGGCCUUCGGGUUGUAAACCUCUUUCGCUCAUGGUCAAGCCGCAACUGUGGGUUGUGGUGAGGGUAGUGGGUAAAGAAGCGCCGGCUAACUACGUG
rnacentral:rRNA from 1 species